rnacentral:rRNA from 1 species
UAGGCUGCAACUCGCCUACACGAAGUCGGAAUCGCUAGUAAUCGCGGAUCAGCAUGCCGCCGGUGAAUACGUUCCCGGGCCUUGUACACACCGCCCGUCACACCAUGGGAGUUUGUAACGCCCAAAGUCGGUGGCCUAACCUUUAUGGAGGGAGCCGCCUAAGGCGGGACAGAUGACUGGGGUGAAGUCGUAACAAGGUAGC